rnacentral:rRNA from 1 species
GAGUUUGAUCUUGGCUCAGAUUGAACGCUGGCGGCAUGCCUUACACAUGCAAGUCGAACGGCAGCACGGGAGCUUGCUCCUGGUGGCGAGUGGCGGACGGGUGAGUAAUGCAUCGGAACGUAUCCUGGAGUGGGGGAUAACGUAGCGAAAGUUACGCUAAUACCGCAUAUUCUGUGAGCAGGAAAGCGGGGGACCUUCGGGCCUCGCGCUCUUGGAGCGGCCGAUGUCGGAUUAGCUAGUUGGUGAGGUAAAGGCUCACCAAGGCGACGAUCCGUAGCAGGUCUGAGAGGAUGAUCUGCCACACUGGAACUGAGGCACGGUCCAGACUCCUACGGGAGGCAGCAGUGGGGAAUUUUGGACAAUGGGGGCAACCCUGAUCCAGCCAUGCCGCGUGAGUGAAGAAGGCCU